rnacentral:rRNA from 1 species
CGGGUGAGUAACACGUGGGUAACCUGCCUGUAAGACUGGGAUAACUCCGGGAAACCGGAGCUAAUACCGGAUAGUUCCUUGAACCGCAUGGUUCAAGGAUGAAAGACGGUUUCGGCUGUCACUUACAGAUGGACCCGCGGCGCAUUAGCUAGUUGGUGAGGUAACGGCUCACCAAGGCGACGAUGCGUAGCCGACCUGAGAGGGUGAUCGGCCACACUGGGACUGAGACACGGCCCAGACUCCUACGGGAGGCAGCAGUAGGGAAUCUUCCGCAAUGGACGAAAGUCUGACGGAGCAACGCCGCGUGAGUGAUGAAGGUUUUCGGAUCGUAAAGCUCUGUUGUUAGGGAAGAACAAGUGCAAGAGUAACUGCUUGCACCUUGACGGUACCUAACCAGAAAGCCACGGCUAACUACGUGCCAGCAGCCGCGGUAAUACGUAGGUGGCAAGCGUUGUCCGGAAUUAUUGGGCGUAAAGGGCUCGCAGGCGGUUUCUUAAGUCUGAUGUGAAAGCCCCCGGCUCAACCGGGGAGGGUCAUUGGAAACUGGGAAACUUGAGUGCAGAAGAGGAGAGUGGAAUUCCACGUGUAGCGGUGAAAUGCGUAGAGAUGUGGAGGAACACCAGUGGCGAAGGCGACUCUCUGGUCUGUAACUGACGCUGAGGAGCGAAAGCGUGGGGAGCGAACAGGAUUAGAUACCCUGGUAGUCCACGCCGUAAACGAUGAGUGCUAAGUGUUAGGGGGUUUCCGCCCCUUAGUGCUGCAGCUAACGCAUUAAGCACUCCGCCUGGGGAGUACGGUCGCAAGACUGAAACUCAAAGGAAUUGACGGGGGCCCGCACAAGCGGUGGAGCAUGUGGUUUAAUUCGAAGCAACGCGAAGAACCUUACCAGGUCUUGACAUCCUCUGACAACCCUAGAGAUAGGGCUUUCCCUUCGGGGACAGAGUGACAGGUGGUGCAUGGUUGUCGUCAGCUCGUGUCGUGAGAUGUUGGGUUAAGUCCCGCAACGAGCGCAACCCUUGAUCUUAGUUGCCAGCAUUCAGUUGGGCACUCUAAGGUGACUGCCGGUGACAAACCGGAGGAAGGUGGGGAUGACGUCAAAUCAUCAUGCCCCUUAUGACCUGGGCUACACACGUGCUACAAUGGACAGAACAAAGGGCUGCGAGACCGCAAGGUUUAGCCAAUCCCACAAAUCUGUUCUCAGUUCGGAUCGCAGUCUGCAACUCGA